rnacentral:rRNA from 1 species
ACGCUGGCGGCACGCCUAACACAUGCAAGUCGAACGAAGUAGCAAUACUUAGUGGCAGACGGGUGAGUAACAUGUAGGUAUCUGCCCUUUGGCCUGGAAUAACACGAGGAAACUUGUGCUAAUACCGGAUAAGUCUUUACAGAGAAAGCUUUAUGCACCAUUGGAUGAGCCUGCACUUGAUUAGUUUGUUGGUGGGGUAAUGGCCUACCAAGACUGUGAUCAAUAGCUGAUUUGAGAGGAUGAUCAGCCACAUUGGGACUGAGACACGGCCCAAACUCCUACGGGAGGCAGCAGUGGGGAAUCUUGCACAAUGGAGGAAACUCUGAUGCAGCGAUGCCGCGUGAGUGAAGAAGGCCUUUGGGUUGUAAAGCUCUUUCGUCGGGGAAGAAAAUGACUGUACCCGAAUAAGAAGGUCCGGCUAACUUCGUGCCCAGCAGCCGCGGUAAUACGAAGGGACCUAGCGUAGUUCGGAAUUACUGGGCUUAAAGAGUUCGUAGGUGGUUGAAAAAGUUAGUGGUGAAAUCCCAGAGCUUAACUCUGGAACUGCCAUUAAAACUUUUCAGCUAGAGUAUGAUAGAGGAAAGCAGAAUUUCUAGUGUAGAGGUGAAAUUCGUAGAUAUUAGAAAGAAUACCAAUUGCGAAGGCAGCUUUCUGGAUCAUUACUGACACUGAGGAACGAAAGCAUGGGUAGCGAAGAGGAUUAGAUACCCUCGUAGUCCAUGCCGUAAACGAUGUGUGUUAGACGUUGGAAAUUUAUUUUCAGUGUCGCAGCGAAAGCGAUAAACACACCGCCUGGGGAGUACGACCGCAAGGUUAAAACUCAAAUGAAUUGACGGGGACCCGCACAAGUAGUGGAGCAUGUGGUUUAAUUCGAAGAUACGCGCAGAACCUUACCAACACUUGACAUGUUCGUCGCGACUCUAAGAGAUUAGAGUUUUCGGUUCGGCCGGACGAAACACAGGUGCUGCAUGGCUGUCGUCAGCUCGUGUCGUGAGAUGUUGGGUUAAGUCCCGCAACGAGCGCAACCCUCACUUUUAGUUGCCAUCAUUAAGUUGGGCACUCUGAAAGAACUGCCAGUGAUAAGCUGGAGGAAGGUGGGGAUGACGUCAAGUCCUCAUGGCCCUUACGUGUUGGGCUACACACGUGCUACAAUGGUAUCUACAACAGGAAGCAAGACUGCGAAGUUAAGCAAAUCCCUAAAAGAUACCUCAGUUCGGAUUGCACUCUGCAACUCGAGUGCAUGAAGCUGGAAUUACUAGUAAUCGUGGAUCAGCGUGCCACGGUGAAUGCGUUCCCGGGUCUUGUACACACCGCC